rnacentral:rRNA from 1 species
UGCCAGCAGCCGCGGUAAUACGAAGGGUGCUAGCGUUGUUCGGAAUUACUGGGCGUAAAGAGCAUGUAGGCGGAUGAAUUAGUCAGAGGUGAAAGCCCCGAGCUCAACUUGGGAACUGCCUUUGAUACUGUUUAUCUAGAGUCCGAGAGAGGUUAGUGGAAUUCCCAGUGUAGAGGUGAAAUUCGUAGAUAUCGAGAGGAACACCGAUGGCGAAGGCAGCUUUCUGGGCGAUGACUGACGCUCAGGUGCGAAAGCGUGGGGAGCAAACAGGAUUAGAUA